rnacentral:lncRNA from 1 species
AAAGUAUAUAAAUUUUGUAAAUAUAUAUUAGAUGUUCAAGAGAUAAGUGAAAAAGAAUUAUCCUCAUCGGAAGUAAUGGACAAACUAAAAACCUUGGAAGAUUCAGUUGGUCUUAUAUUACAACAACUUAGUAAGUAAAUAUUUUAUUUUGUUUUA